AGUGAACGCUGGCGGUAGGCCUAACACAUGCAAGUCGAACGGCAGCACAGGAGAGCUUGCUCUCUGGGUGGCGAGUGGCGGACGGGUGAGGAAUACAUCGGAAUCUGCCCAGUCGUGGGGGAUAACGUAGGGAAACUUACGCUAAUACCGCAUACGACCUUCGGGUGAAAGAGGGGGAUCGCAAUACCUCUCGCGAUUGGAUGAGCCGAUGUCGGAUUAGCUAGUUGGCGGGGUAAUGGCCCACCAAGGCGACGAUCCGUAGCUGGUCUGAGAGGAGGAUCAGCCACACUGGAACUGAGACACGGUCCAGACUCCUAAGGGAGGCAGCAGUGGGGAAUAUUGGACAAUGGGCGCAAGCCUGAUCCAGCCAUACCGCGUGGGUGAAGAAGGCCUUCGGGUUGUAAAGCCCUUUUGUUGGGAAAGAAAUCUUUCAGGCUAAUACCCUGGGAGGAUGACGGUACCCAAAGAAUAAGCACCGGCUAACUUCGUG
rnacentral:rRNA from 1 species